rnacentral:rRNA from 1 species
UACCAGCCCCCUGAGUGAUAGGGACGAUUAUUUAGCCUAAAGCGUUCGUAGCCGGUCAAGCAAGUCUUUGUUAAAUCCGACGACUUAAUCGUCAGACCGCGUGAGAUACUACUAGACUAGAGGGCGGGAGAGGUUGACGGUAUUCCUGGGGUAGGGGUGAAAUCCUAUAAUCCUAGGAGGACCACCAGUGGCGAAGGCGGUCAACCAGAACGCGCCUGACGGUGAUGGACGAAAGCUGGGGUAGCGAACCGGAUUAGACACCCGGGUAGUCCCAGCCGUAAACGAUGCGGGCUGGGUGUUGGGGCAGCUACGAGUUGCCUCAGUGCCGCAGAGAAGUUGUUAAGCCCGCCGCUUGGGAAGUACGGCCGCAAGGCUGAGACUUAAAGGAAUUGGCGGGGGAGCACCACAAGGGGUGAAGCCUGCGGUUC